UGGGGAAUAUUGGACAAUGGGCGCAAGCCUGAUCCAGCCAUGCCGCGUGAGUGAUGAAGGCCUUAGGGUUGUAAAGCUCUUUUACUCGGGAAGAUAGUGACGGUACCGAGGGAAUAAGCCCCGGCUAACUUCGUGCCAGCAGCCGCGGUAAUACGAAGGGGGCUAGCGUUGUUCGGAUUUACUGGGCGUAAAGCGCACGUAGGCGGAUUUUUAAGUCAGGGGUGAAAUCCCGAGGCUCAACCUUGGAACUGCCUUUGAUACUGGGGAUCUUGAGUCCGGAAGAGGUGAGUGGAACUGCGAGUGUAGAGGUGAAAUUCGUAGAUAUUCGCAAGAACACCAGUGGCGAAGGCGGCUCACUGGUCCGGAACUGACGCUGAGGUGCGAAAGCGUGGGGAGCAAA
rnacentral:rRNA from 1 species